rnacentral:rRNA from 1 species
GAUGAACGCUGGCGGCGUGCCUAAUACAUGCAAGUCGAGCGAACAGACAAGGAGCUUGCUCCUUUGGCGUUAGCGGCGGACGGGUGAGUAACACGUGGGUAACCUACCUAUAAGACUGGGAUAACUUCGGGAAACCGGAGCUAAUACCGGAUAAUAUUUCGAACCGCAUGGUUCGAUAGUGAAAGAUGGUUUUGCUAUCACUUAUAGAUGGACCCGCGCCGUAUUAGCUAGUUGGUAAGGUAACGGCUUACCAAGGCGACGAUACGUAGCCGACCUGAGAGGGUGAUCGGCCUCACUGGAACUGAGACACGGUCCAGACUCCUACGGGAGGCAGCAGUAGGGAAUCUUCCGCAAUGGGCGAAAGCCUGACGGAGCAACGCCGCGUGAGUGAUGAAGGUCUUCGGAUCGUAAAACUCUGUUAUUAGGGAAGAACAUACGUGUAAGUAACUAUGCACGUCUUGACGGUACCUAAUCAGAAAGCCACGGCUAACUACGUGCCAGCAGCCGCGGUAAUACGUAGGUGGCAAGCGUUAUCCGGAAUUAUUGGGCGUAAAGCGCGCGUAGGGCGGUUUUUUAAGUCUGAUGUGAAAGCCCACGGCUCAACCGUGGAGGGUCAUUGGAAACUGUAAAACUUGAGUGCAGAAGAGGAAAGUGGAAUUCCAUGUGUAGCGGUGAAAUGCGCAGAGAUAUGGAGGAACACCAGUGGCGAAGGCGACUUUCUGGUCUGUAACUGACGCUGAUGUGCGAAAGCGUGGGGAUCAAACAGGAUUAGAUACCCUGGUAGUCCACGCCGUAAACGAUGAGUGCUAAGUGUUAGGGGGUUUCCGCCCCUUAGUGCUGCAGCUAACGCAUUAAGCACUCCGCCUGGGGAGUACGACCGCAAGGUUGAAACUCAAAGGAAUUGACGGGGACCCGCACAAGCGGUGGAGCAUGUGGUUUAAUUCGAAGCAACGCGAAGAACCUUACCAAAUCUUGACAUCCUUUGACCACUCUAGAGAUAGAGCCUUCCCCUUCGGGGGACAAAGUGACAGGUGGUGCAUGGUUGUCGUCAGCUCGUGUCGUGAGAUGUUGGGUUAAGUCCCGCAACGAGCGCAACCCUUAAGCUUAGUUGCCAUCAUUAAGUUGGGCACUCUAAGUUGACUGCCGGUGACAAACCGGAGGAAGGUGGGGAUGACGUCAAAUCAUCAUGCCCCUUAUGAUUUGGGCUACACACGUGCUACAAUGGACAAUACAAAGGGCAGCGAAACCGCGAGGUCAAGCAAAUCCCAUAAAGUUGUUCUCAGUUCGGAUUGUAGUCUGCAACUCGACUACAUGAAGCUGGAAUCGCUAGUAAUCGUAGAUCAGCAUGCUACGGUGAAUACGUUCCCGGGUCU